rnacentral:rRNA from 1 species
UGCCCUAGUAACGGCGAGUGAAGCGGCAACAGCUCAAAUUUGAAAUCUGGCUUCGGCCCGAGUUGUAAUUUGCAGAGGAAGCUUUAGGCGCGGCACCUCCUGAGUCCCCUGGAACGGGGCGCCACAGAGGGUGAGAGCCCCGUAUAGUUGGAUGCCUAGCCUGUGUAAAGCUCCUUCGACGAGUCGAGUAGUUUGGGAAUGCUGCUCAAAAUGGGAGGUAAAUUUCUUCUAAAGCUAAAUACCGGCCAGAGACCGAUAGCGCACAAGUAGAGUGAUCGAAAGAUGAAAAGCACUUUGAAAAGAGGGUUAAAUAGCACGUGAAAUUGUUGAAAGGGAAGCGCUUGUGACCAGACUUGCGCCGGGCUGAUCAUCCGGUGUUCUCACCGGUGCACUCUGCCCGGCUCAGGCCAGCAUCGGUUCUCGCGGGGGGAUAAAGGCCCUGGGAACGUAGCUCCUCCGGGAGUGUUAUAGCCCGGGGCGCAAUGCCCUCGCGGGGACCGAGGUUCGCGCUCUGCAAGGAUGCUGGCGUAAUGGUCAUCAGCGACCCGUCUUGAAACACGGACCAAGGAGUCAAGGUUUUGCGCGAGUGUUUGGGUGUAAAACCCGCACGCGUAAUGAAAGUGAACGUAGGUGAGAGCUUCGGCGCAUCAUCGACCGAUCCUGAUGUUCUCGGAUGGAUUUGAGUAGGAGCGUUAAGCCUUGGACCCGAAAGAUGGUGAACUAUGCUUGGAUAGGGUGAAGCCAGAGGAAACUCUGGUGGAGGCUCGCAGCGGUUCUGACGUGCAAAUCGAUCGUCAAAUCUGAGCAUGGGGCGAAAGACUAAUCGA